rnacentral:rRNA from 1 species
GCCGUAGGGGGCCAGCGUUGUUCGGAAUUACUGGGUGUAAAGGGUUCGUAGGCGGUGCGGCAAGUUGGGAGUGAAAUCUCUGGGCUUAACCCAGAGGCUGCUUCCAAAACUGCUGUGCUUGAGUGUGGGAGAGGCGCGUGGAAUUGCAGGUGUAGCGGUGAAAUGCGUAGAUAUCGGGAGGAACACCAGUGGCGAAGGCGGCUUCCUGGCCUGUUCUUGACGCUGAGGCGCGAAAGCUAGGGUAGCAAACGGG